CAAUAGCGUAUAUUUAAGUUGUUGCAGUUAAAAAGCUCGUAGUUGGAUUUCGGGUAGGAUUUGCCGGUCCGUCUUUGAGAUGUGUACUGGUAAGUCCUAUCUUCUUGUCGGGGACCAGCUCCUGGGCUUCACUGUCCGGGACUGGGAGCCGACGAAGUUACUUUGAGUAAAUUAGAGUGUUCAAAGCAAGCCUACGCUCUGAAUAUAUUAGCAUGGAAUAACACGAUAGGACUCUGGCUUAUCUUGUUGGUCUGUGAGACCAGAGUAAUGAUUAAGAGGGACAGUCGGGGACAUUCGUAUUUCAUUGUCAGAGGUGAAAUUCUUGGAUUUAUGAGAGACGAACUUCUGCGAAAGCAUUUGUCAAGGAUGUUUUCAUUAA
rnacentral:rRNA from 1 species